AAAAAGUUUAUUUGGGUUUUUCAAUAUCAUACGGAAAGCCCAGAUGAACUUUUUG
ensembl:miRNA